rnacentral:rRNA from 14 species
AGAGUUUGAUCCUGGCUCAGGACGAACGCUGGCGGCGUGCCUAAUACAUGCAAGUCGAACGCUUCUUUUUCCACCGGAGCUUGCUCCACCGGAAAAAGAGGAGUGGCGAACGGGUGAGUAACACGUGGGUAACCUGCCCAUCAGAAGGGGAUAACACUUGGAAACAGGUGCUAAUACCGUAUAACAAUCGAAACCGCAUGGUUUUGAUUUGAAAGGCGCUUUCGGGUGUCGCUGAUGGAUGGACCCGCGGUGCAUUAGCUAGUUGGUGAGGUAACGGCUCACCAAGGCCACGAUGCAUAGCCGACCUGAGAGGGUGAUCGGCCACAUUGGGACUGAGACACGGCCCAAACUCCUACGGGAGGCAGCAGUAGGGAAUCUUCGGCAAUGGACGAAAGUCUGACCGAGCAACGCCGCGUGAGUGAAGAAGGUUUUCGGAUCGUAAAACUCUGUUGUUAGAGAAGAACAAGGAUGAGAGUAACUGUUCAUCCCUUGACGGUAUCUAACCAGAAAGCCACGGCUAACUACGUGCCAGCAGCCGCGGUAAUACGUAGGUGGCAAGCGUUGUCCGGAUUUAUUGGGCGUAAAGCGAGCGCAGGCGGUUUCUUAAGUCUGAUGUGAAAGCCCCCGGCUCAACCGGGGAGGGUCAUUGGAAACUGGGAGACUUGAGUGCAGAAGAGGAGAGUGGAAUUCCAUGUGUAGCGGUGAAAUGCGUAGAUAUAUGGAGGAACACCAGUGGCGAAGGCGGCUCUCUGGUCUGUAACUGACGCUGAGGCUCGAAAGCGUGGGGAGCAAACAGGAUUAGAUACCCUGGUAGUCCACGCCGUAAACGAUGAGUGCUAAGUGUUGGAGGGUUUCCGCCCUUCAGUGCUGCAGCUAACGCAUUAAGCACUCCGCCUGGGGAGUACGACCGCAAGGUUGAAACUCAAAGGAAUUGACGGGGGCCCGCACAAGCGGUGGAGCAUGUGGUUUAAUUCGAAGCAACGCGAAGAACCUUACCAGGUCUUGACAUCCUUUGACCACUCUAGAGAUAGAGCUUCCCCUUCGGGGGCAAAGUGACAGGUGGUGCAUGGUUGUCGUCAGCUCGUGUCGUGAGAUGUUGGGUUAAGUCCCGCAACGAGCGCAACCCUUAUUGUUAGUUGCCAUCAUUCAGUUGGGCACUCUAGCAAGACUGCCGGUGACAAACCGGAGGAAGGUGGGGAUGACGUCAAAUCAUCAUGCCCCUUAUGACCUGGGCUACACACGUGCUACAAUGGGAAGUACAACGAGUCGCGAAGUCGCGAGGCUAAGCUAAUCUCUUAAAGCUUCUCUCAGUUCGGAUUGCAGGCUGCAACUCGCCUGCAUGAAGCCGGAAUCGCUAGUAAUCGCGGAUCAGCACGCCGCGGUGAAUACGUUCCCGGGCCUUGUACACACCGCCCGUCACACCACGAGAGUUUGUAACACCCGAAGUCGGUGAGGUAACCUUUUUGGAGCCAGCCGCCUAAGGUGGGAUAGAUGAUUGGGGUGAAGUCGUAACAAGGUAGCCGUAUCGGAAGGUGCGGCUGGAUCACCU